GUAGUCAUAUGCUUGUCUCAAAGAUUAAGCCAUGCAUGUCUAAGUAUAAACAAAUUUGUACUGUGAAACUGCGAAUGGCUCAUUAAAUCAGUUAUCGUUUAUUUGAUAGUACCUUACUACAUGGAUACCUGUGGUAAUCCUAGAGCUAAUACAUGCUAAAAACCCCGACUUCAGGAAGGGGUGUAUUUAUUAGAUAAAAAACCAACGCCCUUCGGGGCUCCUUGGUGAAUCAUAAUAACUUAACGAAUCGCAUGGCCUUGCGCCGGCGAUGGUUCAUUCAAAUUUCUGCCCUAUCAACUUUCGAUGGUAGGAUAGUGGCCUACCAUGGUGGCAACGGGUAACGGGGAAUUAGGGUUCGAUUCCGGAGAGGGAGCCUGAGAAACGGCUACCACAUCCAAGGAAGGCAGCAGGCGCGCAAAUUACCCAAUCCCGAUACGGGGAGGUAGUGACAAUAAAUACUGAUACGGGGCUCUUUUGGGUCUCGUAAUUGGAAUGAGAACAAUUUAAAUCCCUUAACGAG
rnacentral:rRNA from 1 species